GACAUGAUAAUAAUCCGGGAAGAGGGGAAAGAGAAGGUUGCUACCUUUCAAAACAGAAACUGCUCUUUCAGAAAGUACCUUCAGCAGCAACUUAAUGUCCCGUACAUAUUGGGAAUCUUCGUCAUUUUGGGCGUUCACCGUAACGCCCAUUGCUGCAUCACAUAUGACAUCUAAGGCGUACAAAGUUAUGUACCUAUGGAUAUCUAUAUCUUUCUCAGUCACGGUUUUAAGCUUUUGGAUCAGUACCUUU
rnacentral:misc_RNA from 1 species